rnacentral:rRNA from 1 species
UACAGAGGGUGCGAGCGUUAAUCGGAAUUACUGGGCGUAAAGCGCGCGUAGGCGGCUUUGUAAGUUAGAGGUGAAAGCCCGGGGCUCAACCCCGGAAUUGCCUUUAAGACUGCAUCGCUAGAAUCCAGGAGAGGUGAGUGGAAUUCCGAGUGUAGAGGUGAAAUUCGUAGAUAUUCGGAAGAACACCAGUGGCGAAGGCGGCUCACUGGACUGGUAUUGACGCUGAGGUGCGAAAGCGUGGGGAGCAAACAGG